GUUAUUACUUUUCCUUUUUUUCUUCUUUUUUUGGUUUUGUUUUUUUUUCUUCUUUUUUUGUUUUUUACUGGAACCUUGAGCAACAGCAUGGCAUUUCUGCAGGCUGGUCUGAGUAGAUCUGCUGAAGAACAGAUGGCCUUUGCCUAUUCCUAUGGCUGCGACGCAAUCAGUCUCAUCCAUAUGGUCACAUUUUGUCUGAGGAGGGGACUCUCAGAAGCCAACAUCUUCUCCCCGAAACCAGUCAGUGUAACCCACUGAACAUCUUGGGCUGGGAGGGGAAAAGCCCUCUGGCAGAUUCUGAGGAGUAGAUCUCACACCUUGAGAGAUGGGCUCCCCAAACAGCUUCGUUCCAUUUGUUGUCCUCCACGUCGGGUCCGGGUGCUCCGCUGCUGCAUCGCGUGCCUCAGGUCCCUUAGUAGUGGGCAGCCCCACGAGUCGUAGUCGCAUCAUUCAGAGGGCAGUUCUUUUCUUGGACACUGUGCACAGAAACCUAAAGACGAACACGUUCCUGGCCUUUUUGUAACUUUUCUGUUUUUCUUCUUAACCAUAAUGGUUGUAUAUCACACCACUUUAUAUACAUAUAUAAUAUAUAAAUAUAUAUAAUUUUUUUUUUUUUAAACUUUGGACCUGCUAGUUCCUUUGGAGUGUUCCUGCACUUACCCAAAAUGUUUUUAAAUUGUGAGGGUUAAAGAGGAUUGAGCCCAUUUUUGUAUCUUUACUUUUAAUUCUGUAGUUCUAUUGAUUGUAAUGUAGCUAUUUUUUACUGUAACUUUUUGGUUUGCAAAUACU
rnacentral:lncRNA from 7 species